GACGAACGCUGGCGGCGUGCUUAACACAUGCAAGUCGAACGGUGAACCUCUUCGGAGGGGCUCAGUGGCGAACGGGUGAGUAACACGUGGGCAACCUGCCCCCGGCUCUGGGAUAACUCCAAGAAAUUGGGGCUAAUACCGGAUGUUCACCGCUUCCCGCCUGGGUGGUGGUGGAAAGGGUUUCCGGCUGGGGGUGGGCCCGCGGCCUAUCAGCUUGUUGGUGGGGUAGUGGCCUACCAAGGCGACGACGGGUAGCCGGCCUGAGAGGGUGACCGGCCACACUGGGACUGGGGAACGGCCCGGACUCCUACGGGAGGCAGCAGUGGGGAAUAUUGCGCAAUGGGCGGAAGCCUGAGGCAGCGACGCCGCGUGGGGAAUGACGGCCUUCGGGUUGUAAACCUCUUUCAGCAGGGACGAGGCGCAAGUGACGGUACCUGCAGAAGAAGCACCGGCCAACUACGUG
rnacentral:rRNA from 1 species